rnacentral:rRNA from 1 species
AGUGAACGCUGGCGGUAGGCCUAACACAUGCAAGUCGAACGGCAGCACAGUAAGAGCUUGCUCUUACGGGUGGCGAGUGGCGGACGGGUGAGGAAUACAUCGGAAUCUACUUUUUCGUGGGGGAUAACGUAGGGAAACUUACGCUAAUACCGCAUACGACCUACGGGUGAAAGCAGGGGAUCUUCGGACCUUGCGCGAUUGAAUGAGCCGAUGUCGGAUUAGCUAGUUGGCGGGGUAAAGGCCCACCAAGGCGACGAUCCGUAGCUGGUCUGAGAGGAUGAUUAGCCACACUGGAACUGAGACACGGUCCAGACUCCUACGGGAGGCAGCAGUGGGGAAUAUUGGACAAUGGGCGCAAGCCUGAUCCAGCCAUACCGCGUGGGUGAAGAAGGCCUUCGGGUUGUAAAGCCCUUUUGUUGGGAAAGAAAAGCAGCAGGCUAAUACCCCGCUGUUCUGACGGUACCCAAAGAAUAAGCACCGGCUAACUUCGUG